rnacentral:tRNA from 1 species
AGUGAUGUGCCUGAAAUAAAAGGAUUAUCGUGAUAGGAUAAAUUAUGUAGUAUAUUUACCAUCACUA